GCCGGGCGUGGUGGUGCACGCCUUUAAUCCCAGCACUCGGGAGGCAGAGGCAGGCAGAUUUCUGAGUUCGAGGCCAGCCUGGUCUACAAAGUGAGUGCCAGGACAGCCAGGGCUACACAGAGAAACCCUGUCUAGAAAAACCAAAAUCAAACCAAACCAAACCAAAAAACUUUUAAAAAAGAGCUUGGCUGUGGGCAGGCAAGUACAUAGUAGUGAAGCCAGAACUUGAGCCAGCUAUUGGCCUUUUUUUUUUUGGUUUUUCAAGACAGGGUUUCUCUGUGUAGCCCUGACUGUCCUGGCACUCACUCUGUAGACCAGGCUGGCC
rnacentral:lncRNA from 1 species